GAUGAACGCUAGCGGCAGGCUUAAUACAUGCAAGUCAAGGGGGUAGCAAUACAACCGGCGCACGGGUGAGUAACGCGUACACAACAUACCAUAUACUGGAGUAUAGCUUUGGGAAACUGAAGGUAAUCCUCCAUAACAUUGCGAGAGGGCAUCUGAUUGCAAUUAAAGUUUCGGCGGUAUAUGAUUGGUGUGCGUUUGAUUAGCUAGUUGGUAGGGUAACGGCCUACCAAGGCGACGAUCAAUAGCUGGCGUGAGAGCGCGACCAGCCACACUGGAACUGAGACACGGUCCAGACUCCUACGGGAGGCAGCAGUAGGGAAUAUUGGACAAUGGAGGAAACUCUGAUCCAGCCAUGCCGCGUGAUAGAUGAAGGCCCUCUGGGUUGUAAAUAUCUUUUUAUCUGGGAAGAAACACUCCUAUUCUUAGGAACUUGACGGUACCAGAGGAAUAAGCACCGGCUAACUCCGUGCCAGCAGCCGCGG
rnacentral:rRNA from 1 species